rnacentral:rRNA from 1 species
GGANUGGGCGAAGCCUGACGCAGCGACGCCGCGUGGGGGAUGAAGCUUUUCGGAGCGUAAACCCCUUUCGACCCGGACGAAUGCCCGCAAGGGCUUGACGGUACGGGUAGAAGAAGCCCCGGCUAACUACGUGCCAGCAGCCGCGGUAAAACGUAGGGGGCCAGCGUUGCUCGGAAUUACUGGGCGUAAAGGGUCUGUAGGCGGUGCGGCAAGUCGGAAGUGAAAUCGCAGGGCUUAACUCUGCGGCUGCUCCCGAAACUGCCGUGCUCGAGUGCGAGAUAGGCGAGUGGAAUUGCAGGUGUAGCGGUGAAAUGCGUAGAUAUCUGCAGGAACAUCCGAGGCGAAAGCGGCUCGCUGGAUCGCAACUGACGCUGAGAGACGAAAGCUAGGGGAGCAAACAGGAUUAGAUACCCUGGUAGUCCUAGCCCUAAACGAUGCAUAUUUGGUGUGGGUCAUUCAGUUGAUCCGUGCCGGAGCUAACGCGUUAAAUAUGCCGCCUGGGGAGUACAGUCGCAAGGCUGAAACUCAAAGAAAUUGACGGA